rnacentral:lncRNA from 1 species
GGGAGGGAAGCCCUAAAGAGGGAAAAGGAGGUUCUAGCCCCGCCCCGUCUCCUGCGACCCUUGCCUGACCCUUCCAGCGAGGGUUCCCACCAAUUGCUACCAAUUGCUCUCUCGGUGGAUCUGAUUUCCAGAACACGCCCUAUCUAGAGGAGCCAGAAUCCUGAGGCAACGGACAAAGGAGAAGCAGAGAACAUUCUUUCUGGGCAGGAGGUUGCUGUUUUACGUCUGAGAUUAAAUCAAGAAGUUUCAGUAUCAUGUCUUCAUAUCCUUCCUGUCCUUUGGACCCUAGCAUUUGCUGGUCCUGCCCUAGGUGUGCCUCACAGACACACACACACACACACACACACACACACACACACACACACACACCUUACAUUGUUGAAACCAGAGCUGCUGCUGCUUCUUGAGAGAGGGGUGGUCACAUACCUGUCCUCCUGGGAGGUGACACUUCCACUACACCUCCACAGGUUUCAUGUGAGCCUCACCCUACCUUUGGCCUA